AGUGAACGCUGGCGGUAGGCCUAACACAUGCAAGUCGAACGGCAGCACAGUAAGAGCUCGCUCUUACGGGUGGCGAGUGGCGGAUGGGUGAGGAAUACAUCGGAAUCUACUUUUUCGUGGGGGAUAACGUAGGGAAACAUACGAUAAUACCGCAUACGACCUACGGGUGAAAGCAGGGGAGCUUCGGACCUUGCGCGAUUGAAUGAGCCGAUGUCGGAUUAGCUAGUUGGCGGGGUAAAGGCCCACCAAGGCGACGAUCCGUAGCUGGUCUGAGAGGAUGAUCAGCCACACUGGAACUGAGACACGGUCCAGACUCCUACGGGAGGCAGCAGUGGGGAAUAUUGGACAAUGGGCGCAAGCCUGAUCCAGCCAUACCGCGUGGGUGAAGAAGGCCUUCGGGUUGUAAAGCCCUUUUGUUGGGGAAGAAAAGCAGCAGGUGAAUACCCCGCUGUUCUGACGGUACCCAAAGAAUAAGCACCGGCUAACUUCGUG
rnacentral:rRNA from 1 species